GGGCGGUGGAGCUUGCGGUGGAGCUUGCGGCGGAGCUUGCGGCGCGGAUCCAGGUGUUGAAUUUGGGUUGUUGUCGGACCUGGGAGCGAUUUGGUAAUCUGAGGGAGCACCGGAUCCCACCACUGUAACCCCACCACCACCACUGAACAGGGGUUAGUGAAGAAAGAGCUUGCAAAGCAACAAAAGAUAGUACAGCGAUGCAAUCCUCUGCUUAUGCAAAAUGGAUUUCAUUCUCUUGUAUUGUUCCCUUGGCUUGUCAAUGAUGCAGUGAUGAAAAAGAUUGAGAUGAUGAAAGCUGUUCUCGUGUUUCUUAUACUGUGCAGGGAGCGAAGAUGGAUUUUCUACUGCAAACUUACUAGCUUUACAUGAUCUGAAUCAAGGGUUUACUGGACUCACAAAUAGAUUGAUUAGGAUUUUGACUCGAAUGGAAUCCAUUCAAGUUUUAAUGGAAAAUAAUACCCUUCAGUUUUUUA